rnacentral:rRNA from 1 species
GCUGGCGGCGUGCCUAAUACAUGCAAGUCGAGCGGACCGAAAGGAGAGCUCGCUCUCCUUUCAGUCAGCGGCGGACGGGUGAGUAACACGUGGGUAACCUGCCUGUAAGACCGGGAUAACUCGCGGAAACGCGAGCUAAUACCGGAUAGGUCCCGUGGCCGCAUGGCGACGGGAGGAAAGAUGGCGCGAGCUAUCGCUUACAGAUGGGCCCGCGGCGCAUUAGCUAGUUGGUGGGGUAACGGCCCACCAAGGCGACGAUGCGUAGCCGACCUGAGAGGGUGAUCGGCCACAUUGGGACUGAGACACGGCCCAAACUCCUACGGGAGGCAGCAGUAGGGAAUCUUCCGCAAUGGGCGAAAGCCUGACGGAGCAACGCCGCGUGAGCGAAGAAGGCCUUCGGGUCGUAAAGCUCUGUUGUCAGGGAAGAACAAGUACCGGAGUAACUGCCGGUACCUUGACGGUACCUGACCAGAAAGCCCCGGCUAACUACGUGCCAGCAGCCGCGGCAAUACGUAGGGGGCGAGCGUUGUCCGGAAUCAUUGGGCGUAAAGCGCGCGCAGGCGGUCCCUUAAGUCUGAUGUGAAAUCUUGCGGCUCAACCGCAAGGGGUCAUUGGAAACUGGGGGACUUGAGUGCAGGAGAGGGAAGCGGAAUUCCAUGUGUAGCGGUGAAAUGCGUAGAGAUAUGGAGGA